rnacentral:tRNA from 1 species
GCAGCGGUGACUUAGUGGUAGAGUGCUCGACAAGUACUCUGGUAGUCCGGGGUUCGAUUCCCGGCUGAUGGA